rnacentral:tRNA from 1 species
GGGGCCUUAGCUUCAGCUGGGAGAGCGCCUGCUUUGCACGCAGGAGGUCAGCGUUCGAUCCCGCUAGGCUCCA